AACCAAUGCUGUGUUUAUCGAAUGUUACUCAAUUUUCACACAGAUUUUAUGAUGGCGACGGAAGUAUUGCUAUUUAUGAGAUGGACAUUAGGUUUCUUAACUGUAGCUAUCCCUAAGGUAUUGUAUUAGUGUAUAUAAAUCAAGAACCCAUAUAUCUUUCAACUAGUGUAAUGACGAAUAUUAAAUAUGGGAAGCAAGAUGCUAGAUGAAGGAGAGCAGAUCGUAAAAGCGGCGGAAGAGGCUGAUGCUGCUCACGAAUUUAUUACAAAUCUUGCAAAUGAUGUGAAACCUAAGUUGGUGAG